UUUAACGGCCGCGGUAUCCUAACCGUGCAAAGGUAGCGCAAUCAAUUGUCCCAUAAAUCGGGACACGUAUGAAUGGCUAAACGAGGUCUUAACUGUCUCUUACAGGCAAUCGGUGAAAUUGAUCUCCCUGUGCGAAAGCAGGGAUAACCACAUAAGACGAGAAGACCCUGUGGAACUUCAAAAACAGCGACCACCCCAACAUACAUACACACCCACCCCGGGCGCACUUAUCCAUAAAGCACUGGUUCGCAUUUUUUCGGUUGGGGCGACCUUGGAGCAAAACAAAACCUCCAAAGAUUGGACCAUCCCUCCAGACUAAGAGCAACCUCUCAACGUGCCAACAGCACCCAGACCCAAUACAAUUGAUCAAUGGACCAAGCUACCCCAGGGAUAACAGCGCAAUCUCCUCCAAGAGUCCAUAUCGACGGGGAGGUUUACGACCUCGAUGUUGGAUCAGGACAUCCUAGUGGUGCAGGAGCUACUAA
rnacentral:rRNA from 1 species